GCGGGGUAGCUCAGCUGGUCAGAGCGCACGACUCAUAAUCGUGAGGUCGCGGGUUCGAGCCCCGCCCUCGC
rnacentral:tRNA from 1 species